rnacentral:rRNA from 1 species
GAUGAACGCUGGCGGCGUGCCUAAUACAUGCAAGUCGAGCGAACAGACGAGGAGCUUGCUCCUCUGACGUUAGCGGCGGACGGGUGAGUAACACGUGGAUAACCUACCUAUAAGACUGGGAUAACUUCGGGAAACCGGAGCUAAUACCGGAUAAUAUAUUGAACCGCAUGGUUCAAUAGUGAAAGACGGUUUUGCUGCCACUUAUAGAUGGAUCCGCGCUGCAUUAGCUAGUUGGUAAGGUAACGGCUUACCAAGGCAACGAUGCGUAGCCGACCUGAGAGGGUGAUCGGCCACACUGGAACUGAGACACGGUCCAGACUCCUACGGGAGGCAGCAGUAGGGAAUCUUCCGCAAUGGGCGAAAGCCUGACGGAGCAACGCCGCGUGAGUGAUGAAGGUCUUCGGAUCGUAAAACUCUGUUAUUAGGGAAGAACAAAUGUGUAAGUAACUAUGCACGUCUUGACGGUACCUAAUCAGAAAGCCACGGCUAACUACGUG